rnacentral:rRNA from 1 species
AAUCAACGUUGGCGGCGCGCUUAACACAUGCAAGUCGAACGAGAAAGUGUAGCAAUACAUGAGUACAGUGGCGUACGGGUGAGUAACACGUGGGUAUCUGCCUGUUAGUGGGGAAUAACCCUGGGAAACCGGGGCUAAUACCGCAUAAGCCCGAAAGGGGAAACUCGAAAGAGGCUGACAGAAGAGCCCGCGGCCGAUUAGCUAGUUGGUGAGGUAAUGGCUCACCAAGGCUANGAUCGGUAGCCGGCCUGAGAGGGCACACGGCCACACUGGCACUGAAACACGGCCAGACUCCUACGGGAGGCAGCAGUGGGGAAUCUUGCACAAUGGGGGAAACCCUGAUGCAGCGACGCCGCGUGAGUGAUGAAGCCC